AUUGAACGCUGGCGGCAGGCCUAACACAUGCAAGUCGAACGAGUGGCGGACGGGUGAGUAAUGUCUGGGAAACUGCCCGAUGGAGGGGGAUAACUACUGGAAACGGUAGCUAAUACCGCAUACCAUCGGAUGUGCCCAGAUGGGAUUAGCUAGUAGGUGGGGUAACGGCUCACCAAGGCGACGAUCCCUAGCUGGCCUGAGAGGGUGACCAGCCACACUGGAACUGAGACACGGUCCAGACUCCUACGGGAGGCAGCAGUGGGGAAUAUUGCACAAUGGGCGAAAGCCUGACGCAGCCACGCCGCGUGUAUGAAGAAGGUCUUCGGGUUGUAAAGUUCUGUCAGUGAGGAAGCGGUACUCGCAGAAGAAGCACCGGCUAACUCCGUGCCAGCAGCCGCGGUAAUUC
rnacentral:rRNA from 1 species